rfam:Punica granatum cultivar Dabenzi scaffold98, whole genome shotgun sequence.
GGGCCUGUGAUGAGAGACAAUUACAAAAAUACCAUCUUUCGGGACUGAAUGGCUCAUUGAGCCUUGCUGUCAUUCUGCAAUUCUGAGGCCU